GAUUUGUUAAAAGCCAUUUUAUCUCUGAGAGAUUCAAUGACCAUGUUUGAUGACAAGCCAGAUGGCAGUGUUCUCUAGACCCGGUGCCAAGAAGCAUGACAGGAGCCGCAAUUUACCUUCCGUGGUGAGGCGAGCUGCUGAAGCACACCACAGCUGCGGGCGAGCGGGCUGCUGCCGGUAGGUGCAAGCACAGUUGGUUCCCUCCCAAUUUGGAUGCAGCAGUUCUGGAGGCUGGGAAGUCCAAGGUCAAAGAGCGGCAUCUGGUGAGGAACUCCUGACUACAUCAGCCAUGAGCAAAGAGGAAGAGAAAGAAUAUUCUUUUAUGCAGAGGAGCAAGACCCUCCUAUGAUUUGUGGGAAGGACGGCAUUGCCUCAGUGGAAAAGUAAGUAAUGACAUAUUUCACUUUCCUGUAGGAUUUUUUAAAUUAAUGGCAUUAAAUUGA